rnacentral:rRNA from 1 species
GACCAAGGAGUCUAACAUGUGCGCGAGUCGUAGGGUUACGCUCAAAGCCCGAAGGCGCAAUGAAAGUGAAGGUCGGCCUCGAUUGCCGUUACCUAGGCGGGAUCCGUUCGGGCUUACCGGUCGUUCGCGGCUGAGCCCGGCGGCGCACCGCCGGCCCGUCUCGACCGCAUCGCCGGUGAGGCGGAGCGAGAGCGUACACGUUGGGACCCGAAAGAUGGUGAACUAUGCCCGGGCAGGACGAAGCCAGAGGAAACUCUGGUGGAGGUCCGUAGCGAUUCUGACGUGCAAAUCGAUCGUCGGACCUGGGUAUAGGGGCGAAAGACUAAUCGAACCUUCUAGUAGCUGGUUCCU